AUGGCAUCGAUCAUCUAUGUUGAGAGUUCUGCGGACGCGGCGACGAAGCGUGAACGUGCAGUCAUUGAGCAAAAGAUGGACCUGUGGGUCAAAGCCGUCGAUGCAUUGAAUGCGGCUUGUAGAGAAUUUUCAAAGUAUUAUGUGUCUAAGUGCGAUGAAGACGAAGUUAAGUUAUACCAAGAUAAAGAGAAAAAUAUAAGCAAUCUGAAGAAGCAAGAGAAAAUUCAUAGACGUGCUCUAGCAAGGCAAAUUGCAUUGUGUGGAACAAGGGAUGAAGUGAAUGAGAUGGACUUUAACAACCCUGUCCAGAUCAUUGACUGGCUAGUUAGGCAACCAUCAUCGGCGAUACCUAGUCGGGCAUCUCAUUGGGCUUGGGUCCGUGAAAGAAAUGAUGUCAUUUGUUGCAACCCGGGGCCGUAUGAUACGUCCAUUUUGCAUCAUGCUUUUAUGAUAAUAUUUAUUGCAUUAUGGGCUGUUAUUUCACGUUAUGUCACGAUACUCAUGGCUAUUCUCUCUUAUUUUACAAGGUUUACAUGA
rnacentral:rRNA from 1 species